GAUUGUUAGAAGUUGUCUUCUUACAAAUGUUUUCAAAACAUUCAUUUUAAAAUUAUAAACUAAACAAUCA
rnacentral:tRNA from 1 species